UGGCUCUCGCAUCGAUGAAGAACGCAGCGAAAUGCGAUAAGUAAUGUGAAUUGCAGAAUUCAGUGAAUCAUCGAAUCUUUGAACGCACCUUGCGCUCCUUGGUAUUCCAAGGAGCAUGCCUGUUUGAGUGUCAUGUUCAUUCUCAAACCUUGUGUUUGGUUUUGGAGCGCUGCCAGUCUUGGCUGCUCUUAAAUGCAUUGGCUUAACUCGGGCGUGAUCAGUCACAGUGUUGUAAUCUACUGCGCUGGUUGUGAUCAGGCUUGUUGGCCUCGUGAACAUAUUUUGUACUCUGACCUCAAAUCAGGUAGGACUACCCGCUGA
rnacentral:misc_RNA from 1 species